rnacentral:rRNA from 1 species
UUAUGGCUCAGGACGAACGCUGGCGGCGUGCUUAACACAUGCAAGUCGAGCGAUGAAGCUCCUUCGGGAGUGGAUUAGCGGCGGACGGGUGAGUAACACGUGGGCAACCUGCCUUGUAGAGAGGAAUAGCCAUUCGAAAGGAUGAUUAAUACCUCAUAAUAUUGUAGCUUCGCAUGAAGCAACAACCAAAGGAGCAAUCCACUACAAGAUGGGCCCGCGGCGCAUUAGCUAGUUGGUGGGGUAACGGCUCACCAAGGCGACGAUGCGUAGCCGACCUGAGAGGGUGAUCGGCCACAUUGGGACUGAGACACGGCCCAGACUCCUACGGGAGGCAGCAGUGGGGAAUAUUGCACAAUGGGGGAAACCCUGAUGCAGCCAACGCCGCGUGAGUGAUGACGGUCUUCGGAUUGUAAAGCUCUGUCUUCAGGGACGAUAAUGACGGUACCUGAGGAGGAAGCCACGGCUAACUACGUGCCAGCCGCCGC